AUCCAGACUCCUACGGGAGGCAGCAGUGGGGAAUAUUGCACAAUGGGGGAAACCCUGAUGCAGCGACGCCGCGUGAGUGAGGAAGUAUUUCGGUAUGUAAAGCUCUAUCAGCAGGGAAGAAAAUGACGGUACCUGACUAAGAAGCCCCGGCUAACUACGUGCCAGCAGCCGCGGUAAUACGUAGGGGGCGAGCGUUAUCCGGAUUCACUGGGUGUAAAGGGAGCGUAGACGGCCAUACAAGCCAGGGGUGAAAGCCCGGGGCCCAACCCCGGGACUGCCCUUGGAACUGCAUGGCUGGAGUGCGGGAGGGGCAGGCGGAAUUCCUGGUGUAGCGGUGAAAUGCGUAGAUAUCAGGAGGAACACCGGCGGCGAAGGCGGCCUGCUGGACCGCGACUGACGUUGAGGCUCGAAAGCGUGGGGAGCGAACAGGAUUAGAUACCCCAGUACG
rnacentral:rRNA from 1 species